GCGGGAAUAGCUCAGUUGGUAGAGCACGACCUUGCCAAGGUCGGGGUCGCGAGUUCGAGUCUCGUUUCCCGAGUUCGAGUCUCGUUUCCCGCUCCA
rnacentral:tRNA from 1 species